UACGUAGGUCCCGAGCGUUGUCCGGAUUUAUUGGGCGUAAAGCGAGCGCAGGUGGUUUAUUAAGUCUGGUGUAAAAGGCAGUGGCUCAACCAUUGUAUGCAUUGGAAACUGUUAGACUUGAGUGCAGUAGAGGAGAGUGGAAUUCCAUGUGUAGCGGUGAAAUGCGUAGAUAUCGGGAGGAAUACCAGUGGCGAAGGCGACCUUCUGGACGGUAACUGACGCUGAGGCGCGAAAGCGUGGGGAGCAAACAGG
rnacentral:rRNA from 1 species